UGGGGAAUAUUGCGCAAUGGUCGAAAGACUGACGCAGCGACGCCGCGUGUGGGAGGAAGCCUUUCGGGGUGUAAACCACUGUCAGGGGGGAAGAACCCCGGGUACACGAAUAGGGUGCCCGGCUGACGGUACCUCCAGAGGAAGCGCCGGCUAACUCCGUGCCAGCAGCCGCGGUAAGACGGAGGGCGCAAGCGUUGUUCGGAAUUACUGAGCGUAAAGCGCACGCAGGCGGUUUGCUCAGUCCUUUGUGAAAGCCCGGGGCUCAACCCCGGAAUUGCAUCGGAUACUGGUAGACUGGAGACAGGUAGAGGCUAGCGGAAUUCCUGGAGUAGCGGUGGAAUGCGUAGAUAUCAGGAAGAACACCUGUGGCGAAGGCGGCUAGCUGGGCCUGUUCUGACGCUCAUGUGCGAAAGCGUGGGGAGCAAACA
rnacentral:rRNA from 1 species